rnacentral:rRNA from 1 species
UACGUAGGGACCGAGCGUUGUCCGGAUUUAUUGGGCGUAAAGAGCGUGUAGGCGGCCAGGUAGGUCUGCUGUGAAAACUCGAGGCUCAACCUCGAGACGUCGGCGGAAACCAUCUGGCUAGAGUCCGGAAGAGGAGAGUGGAAUUCCUGGUGUAGCGGUGAAAUGCGCAGAUAUCAGGAGGAACACCGGUGGCGAAGGCGGGUCUCUGGGCCGAUACUGACGCUGAGGAGCGAAAGCGUGGGGAGCGAACAGG